rnacentral:rRNA from 1 species
UACGUAGGGGGCAAGCGUUGUCCGGAUUUAUUGGGCGUAAAGAGCGUGUAGGCGGCCUGAAAGGUCAGCUGUGAAAACUCGAGGCUCAACCUCGAGACGCCGGUGGAAACCAUCUAGCUAGAGUCCGGAAGAGGAGAGUGGAAUUCCUGGUGUAGCGGUGAAAUGCGCAGAUAUCAGGAAGAACACCCGUGGCGAAGGCGGCUCUCUGGUACGUGACUGACGCUGAGACGCGAAAGCGUGGGGAGCGAACAGG